rnacentral:rRNA from 1 species
UGGAACCACCUGAUCCCAUUCCGAACUCAGAAGUGAAACGAUGCAUCGCCGAUGGUAGUGUGGGGUUUCCCCAUGUGAGAGUAGGUCAUCGUCAAGC